rnacentral:lncRNA from 1 species
AUGGGAUCACGAGCUCGACGAUCUAAUUUCGUACCUUGAUUCGACAUAACCCGAACUCGAGCUUUGAGCUGCCAUGUUUCAACCUUGAUUGGGCACUCAAUAGGGGAAUUCGAUUUCGACCGUAUACAGAAUAAAUUAUGAGAAUGUGAACAUAGGUCGAUUCUUGGAAUAUGACAAGGGCUGCGUCGCUAAUGGUACACCUCCAAUAAUGCCGAAUUCUCACUGCACCGACCACCGUCUCCACAAGGUUCUUACUUUUAC